rnacentral:rRNA from 1 species
UGAGGAAGAUUGGUCAAUGGACGAGAGUCUGAACCAGCCAAGUAGCGUGAAGGAUGACUGCCCUAUGGGUUGUAAACUUCUUUUAUAGGGGAAUAAAGUGAGCCACGUGUGGUUUUUGUAUGUACCCUAUGAAUAAGGAUCGGCUAACUCCGUGCCAGCAGCCGCGGUAAUACGGAGGAUCCGAGCGUUAUCCGGAUUUAUUGGGUUUAAAGGGAGCGUAGGUGGACAUGUAAAGUCAGUUGUGAAAGUUUGCGGCUCAACCGUAAAAUUGCAGUUGAUACUGUGUGUCUUGAGUACAGUAGAGGUGGGCGGAAUUCGUGGUGUAGCGGUGAAAUGCUUAGAUAUCACGAAGAACUCCGAUUGCGAAGGCAGCUCACUGGACUGUCACUGACACUGAGGCUCGAAAGUGUGGGUAU